rnacentral:rRNA from 1 species
UCGGGCAUUGCCUCAGUACGGCGAGUGAGCGGCAAAAGCUCAAAUUUGAAACCCUCGGGAUUGUAAUUUGAAGAUUUGGCAUUGGAGAAAGCUAACCCAAGUUGCUUGGAAUAGUACGUCAUAGAGGGUGACAACCCCGUCUGGCUAACCGUUCUCCAUGUAUUGCCUUAUCAAAGAGUCGAGUUGUUUGGGAAUGCAGCUCAAAGUGGGUGGUAAACUCCAUCUAAAGCUAAAUACUGGUGAGAGACCGAUAGCGAACAAGUACUGUGAAGGAAAGGUGAAAAGAACUUUGAAAAGAGAGUGAAAUAGUAUGUGAAAUUGUUGAUAGGGAAGGAAAUGAGUGGAGAGUGGCCGAGGUUUCAGCCGCCCCUCGUGGGCGGUGUACUGCCGACGCCGAGUCAUCGAUAGCGAGACGAGGGUUACAAAUGGGAGCGCCUUCGGGCGUUCUCCCCUAACCCUCCACACUGCCACCGACGACAUAAUCCACCCAUUUCACCCGUCUUGAACACAGGGACAA